rnacentral:rRNA from 1 species
GCCUCUUGGACUGGGACAACUGUUGGAAACGACAGCUAAUACCGGAUAUUAUGAGAUUCUCGCAUGAGAAACUUAUGAAAGCUAUAUGCGCCAAGAGAGAGCCUUGCGUUCCAUUAGCUAGUUGGUGGGGUAACGGCCCACCAAGGCGACGAUGGAUAGCCGGCCUGAGAGGGUGAACGGCCACAAGGGGACUGAGACACGGCCCUUACUCCUACGGGAGGCAGCAGUGGGGAAUAUUGGACAAUGGGCCACAAGCCUGAUCCAGCAAUUCUGUGUGCACGAUGAAGGUCUUCGGAUUGUAAAGUGCUUUCAGUUGGGAAGAAGAAAGUGACGGUACCAACAGAAGAAGCGACGGCUAAAUACGUGCCAGCAGCCGCGGUAAUACGUAUGUCGCAAGCGUUAUCCGGAUUUAUUGGGCGUAAAGCGCGUCUAGGCGGAAAAAUAAGUCUGAUGUUAAAAUGCGGGGCUCAACUCCGUAUUGCGUUGGAAACUGUUUUUCUAGAGUACUGGAGAGGUGGGCGGAACUACAAGUGUAGAGGUGAAAUUCGUAGAUAUUUGUAGGAAUGCCGAUGGAGAAGUCAGCUCACUGGACAGAUACUGACGCUGAAACGCGAAAGCGUGGGGAGCAAAC